rnacentral:rRNA from 1 species
CCAAUAGCGUAUAUUAAAGUUGUUGCAGUUAAAAAGCUCGUAGUUGAAUUUCGGGAUCAAUGUUUCGGUCAUGCCGUUGGUAUGUACUGAUAUUAUUGGUUUCUCACCUUCUAAAGAACCGUAAUGCCAUUAAUUUGGUGUCACGGGGAAUUAGGACUGUUACCUUGAAAAAAUUAGAGUGUUUAAAGCAGGCUCACGCUUGAAUACAUUAGCAUGGAAUAAUGAAAUAGGACAUCCGAUUCUAUUUUGUUGGUUUCUAGGAUCGAUGUAAUGAUUAAUAGGGAUAAUUGGGGGCAUUAGUAUUAAAUUGUCAGAGGUGAAAUUCUUGGAUUUAUUGAAGACUAACUACUACGAAAGCAUUUGCCAAGGAUGUUUUCAUUAAUCAAGAACGAAAGUUAGGGGAUCGAAGAAGAUCAGAUACCGUCGUAGUCUUAACCAUAAACUAUGCCGACUAGGGAUCGGAUGAUGUUAAUUUUUUAAUUACUCAUUCGGCGCCUUACG